rnacentral:rRNA from 1 species
UGAAUACGAGACGCUAAGGCGUUGAAGUAGUGUAUGUCAUACUUCCAAGAAAAGCUUGCACUGUCAUAGAUAAAAAACGCCUGUACCAUAACCGACACAGGUGGGUAGGUAGAGUAUACUAAGGGGCGCGAGAUAACUCUCUCUAAGGAACUCGGCAAAAUAACUCCGUAACUUCGGGAGAAGGAGUGCCUUAUUUAUAAGGCUGCAAUAACAAGAUCCAAGCAACUGUUUAUCAAAAACACAGGUCUCCGCUAAGUCGUAAGACGAUGUAUGGGGGCUGACGCCUGCCCAGUGCCAGAAGGUUAAAGAAGUUGGUUAGCAAUAGCGAAGCUGAUAACUGAAGCCCUGGUGAACGGCGGCCGUAACAAUAACGGUCCUAAGGUAGCGAAAUUCCUUGUCGGGUAAGUUCCGACCCGCACGAAAGGCGUAAUGAUUUGGAUACUGUCUCGGAGAGGGGCUCGGUGAAAUAGACUUGUCUGUGAAGAUGCGGACUACCUGCACCAGGACAGAAAGACCCUAUGAAGCUUUACUGUAACUUGAAAUUGAAAUUGGACUUUAUUCGCGCAGUAUAGGUGGGAGGCGUUGAUUGUAAUCUUGCGGGAUUAUUGGAGCCAUCAGUGAGAUACCACCCUUGUAAUGUUAGAUUUCUAACUUUGAAUCAUUAUCUGGUCAAAGAACAGUUUCAGGCGGGCAGUUUGACUGGGGCGGUCGCCUCCUAAACGGUAACGGAGGCGUACAAAGGUUUCCUCUGAACGGUUAGAAAUCGUAUCUAGAGUGUAAAGGCAUAAGGAAGCUUGACUGUGAGACCUACAAGUCGAGCAGGGACGAAAGUCGGUCUUAGUGAUCUGACGGUACUGAGUGGAAAGGCCGUCACUCAACGGAUAAAAGUUACUCUAAGGAUAACAGGCUGAUCUCCCCCAAGAGUUCACAUCGACGGGGAGGUUUGGCACCUGAUGUCGGCUCAUCGCAUCCUGGGGCGGUAGUACGUCCCAAGGGUUGGGCUGUUCGCCCAUGAAAGCGGUACGCGAGCUGGGUUCAGAACGUCGUGAGACAGUUCGGUCCAUAUCCGGUGUAGGCGUUAGAAUAUUGAGAGGAGCCUUCUUUAGUACGAGAGGACCGAGAAGGACAUACCUCUGGUGUACCAGUUAUCGUGCCAACGGUAAACGCUGGGUAGCUAUGUAUGGAGUGGAUAACCGCUGAAAGCAUCUAAGUGGGAAGCCCACCUCAAGAUAAGUAUUCUCC